rnacentral:rRNA from 1 species
AACAAACGCUGGCGGCGUGCCUAAUACAUGCAAGUCGAACGGGGAAAGCUUUCGGGUGAGUACUAGUGGCGCACGGGUGAGGAACGCGUGGAUAAUCUGCCUUAGAGUGGGGGAUAACUAGUCGAAAGAUUAGCUAAUACCGCAUAAGACCACGAGAGCUGCGGCUUUUGAGGUCAAAGGUCUUUCGCUCUAAGAUGAGUCCGCGUAAGAUUAGCUAGUUGGUGAGGUAACGGCUCACCAAGGCGACGAUCUUUAACUGGUCUGAGAGGAUGAUCAGUCACACUGGAACUGAGACACGGUCCAGACUCCUACGGGAGGCAGCAGUAGGGAAUAUUGCACAAUGGAGGAAACUCUGAUGCAGCGACGCCGCGUGAGUGAUGAAGGCCUUCGGGUCGUAAAGCUCUGUCGCAGGGGAAUAACACAAUGAAGGUACCCUGUAAGAAAGGAUCGGCUAACUUCGUG